rnacentral:rRNA from 1 species
GACGAACGCUGGCGGCGUGCUUAACACAUGCAAGUCGAACGGUGAACCUCUUCGGAGGGGAUCAGUGGCGAACGGGUGAGUAACACGUGGGCAACCUGCCCCCGGCUCUGGGAUAACUCCAAGAAAUUGGGGCUAAUACCGGAUGUUCACCGCUUCCCGCAUGGGUGGUGGUGGAAAGGGUUUCCGGCUGGGGAUGGGCCCGCGGCCUAUCAGCUUGUUGGUGGGGUAGUGGCCUACCAAGGCGACGACGGGGAGCCGGCCUGAGAGGGGGGACGGCCACACUGGGACUGAGAAACGGCCCAGACUCCUACGGGAGGCAGCAGUGGGGAAUAUUGCGCAAUGGGCGGAAGCCUGACGCAGCGACGCCGCGUGGGGGAUGACGGCCUUCGGGUUGUAAACCUCUUUCAGCAGGGACGAAGCGCAAGUGACGGUACCUGCAGAAGAAGCACCGGCCAACUACGUG